GAGAGACAGCGAGUGUGCGCCUGGUGGCUCGAGCUGCUUGGAUGCGUUUGUGGAGCCUGAGGCCUAGGCCGCGUUUGCUCUCGCCGGGGCCUUUUCCUCACUCGGUCACCCGAUCCAACCCAUGGAUCCCACCCUUCCGCUGCUCAGUCUCCCCGCCCGAAGUCGACCUGUUCCUUCCCGCCCAACCUCCCCAAAACGUCGCCGUCGGAGGGGAAAAAAUCCGGUGCCUCAGCGAAGCCUCGGCCUGGCGUAAAGAGGCGCCCCGGGCCGGACCGUCGAUGAAGUGGCGAGGCGCCGCUAGGAAAACCCGCUGGAAGCCUCGACCCGAGGCCUGACUGGAGGAGGGAGACUGAAUUAGGACCGCUGUGUUGUUAGAAUCCCUCUUGUAUCGUCGUUCCAGGGUGUUUGGGGAGCUGUUGGCCUCGUUUUUAGCUCUGGUGAACACUUCAGUUCGGUGCUGAGGGAGUUCUGCAGUGCCAGAGAUGCCAGUUUCAGUGCGUUGGUGAGGUCACAUCUGGGAUAGUAUGUACAGUUUUGGUUUCCUUUUCUUUAAAAAGGAUAUAAAUGCUGUCCGAAGAAGGAUCACUUGAUUGAUAACUGGGAGAAGAGGUGAUCUUGUGAAUGUAUCUGUAAACAUUCAGGAGCAUGAGGCUUUCUGACCGAAACAUUGAAGAUCCUGAGGGAACAUGAAUGCCAAAAGGAUGUUUUCACUUGUGGAAGGACAGAAUCAAGGAGACGGUUUGCAAAUAAGAGGGGUUCUUUUGAGUUUGAGGUAAGUGGAACAUUUUUUUCCCUCCGUGGGUCAUGAGUCUUUUUAAUUCUCCUUCCUCAACAGCGGAGAAACUGGAAUCAUUGAAUACUUUUAAGCAAGUGGUAGUUAGAUAAUUGAUCAACAAAGAAGUUGCAAGUUCUUGGGGAUUGAUGGGAGUUUGAGUUGAGACCGCAAUCGGAUCAGAUGUUCUAGGCUAGAAAUUUAUUUCCUUCCCUUAUUGCCCAGAGCAUAGUUAGGAAUCAAUCAUAUUGAAUGUGGGUCCAGAGUUACAGAGGCCAAUGCAGGCUAGGCUGGUAGAUUUCUUUCCCCAAGAACUUUAGUGAAUCAAGUGGGUUCUUACAAUAGUUGGAGGUAGUUAUAGGGUCUUGUUAGAUUAGCCUAUUAACUGUCCAGUUCUGGUCGACCUAUUUUAAGGAUAUUAUUAAGCUGAAGAGGCUCGGAAAAGGUUUACUAGGGGAUUGCUAGGAAUGGAAGCUUUGAGUUAUAAGGAGAGGCUGGAUAGGUUGGGACUUUUCUUUUCAUCGCAGCAUAGGAGGUUGAGCGGUGACCUUACAAGGUUAAUAAAAUGAUGAGCAGUGCAGAUAAGGUGAAUGGCAGGUGCCUUUUCCCUUGUGUGUGGGAUUUCGAGACUAGUGGGUAUGUUUUUAAGGUGAGAGGAGAGAGAUUCGACAAGGAUUUGAGUGGCAACUUUUACACAGUGUGGUUUAUGUUUGGAAUGAACUUCCAGCGGUGAGCGUACAGUUACGACGUUUAAAAGACAUGUAGAUAAGCACAUGAAUAUGAAAGGUUUAGAGAGUUAUGGGCCAAGUGCAGGCAUGUGGGACAAGUUUAUUUUGGCAUGGCCCAGGUGGACUGAAGGGUCUGUUUCUGUGCCAUAUGACUCUGAAUUAAAAUUUUACUAUCUGCUGUGGUGAGAUUCAGUCUCCAUGUUCACAGAACAUCAGCCUGGGUCCGUUGACAUCACCACUAUGCCACUGCCUUUCGUAAAUGGUUUAUUCCUGCUGCUUUUGUUUGUGUGUCAGAGGCAAACACAUAAAAUGGUUCCACUGAUAGGAAAGGGAGGUUGGCGCGGUCUUAAAAUUAUUUCUGGAGCCUUAGGAAAGAUGGUUAAAGAUGUUAGAAGUAUGGAACUUUCUCCCAUGCUCAUUGGUUUGCCAGUUCAGUUGAUCAUUUUAAAUCUGAGAUUUUAAUUAGCCAUGGGUGUAAUUACAACCAAGGUAGAGAUAGGAUACAGAAUUAGAAAUGAUCUUGGUGCAUGCCAGAGCAGGAUCCCACUAAAUGGUCACCUCUGUUGCUGAAAAGCCAGGUCACGUUAUUGUUAGAAAUAAUUUCAGUGAUUACUGCAAACACGAAGGAGAUGAUGCUGGAAAUUUCACAGUUCGUUUAACAAAAUUAGAAGAGAAUAAAUACAUUCGUUUUUGAGAUGAUGGCCUAUUGUCGAUCCUUACAUUCACUCUGAUUGGAUGUUCCCAAUAAUUUUGAUUUCUGUUGUCGCUGGCUGAUGAUGAUAUCAGCGGUUACAGAAAUUGUUUCUGAAACCUCAGCCACAGAUGUUUGAAGUGUAUAGGAUACAUCCGUGGGGAAAACAGCUACCACCUUUCCCGACUCUCAAAACCGCGCGUGUAAUGAGAUCAAGCUUACUCAUGGGACUGAGCUGUUUUUGAUGAGGCCUUUGUUCUAAGUGCCUGUAGUGGCUGGAUCAUGGAUGCGUUAGAAAUCGUGAGAAAGGAAGGUGAACACGUUUGAUUGCUCACAACAAAAACAAAGUUGCUGGAGAAGCUCAGCAGGUCUGGCAGCAUCUGUGAAGAAAAAAACAGUUAACACUUUGGGUCUGGUGGCUGGGAAAACAUCAGUUUAUAUGCAGAAAAUAGGGAGAUGGGUGGGUUAGGGAGUAAAUGGUAAGACAGAGCCCAAAGAGAGAGAAAGACAGUUGAACAGACAAAGGAGUUGCUAACGAUCAGGCUGGGAGGGUGAAUAGUUGUUAAUGGAGACUGUUAGUGACUAACAACAGGGGGGUGUGUAAUAAGAUAUGUAGUAACAAGGCCUGGUGUGUGCGGUAGGGGCUGGGACAUGGGGGGAGUUUAGGCCCUUAAAUUAUUGAACUCAGUAUUAAGUCUGGAGGGCAGUAGGUCCCCCAAGUGGAAAGUGAGGUGUUGUUCCUCCAGCUCAUGUUGGACUUCGCUGGAACACUGCAGCAAGAUUGCAGCUGUUUGCAUUCUGCUCAUUUCAUCGAAGGUCAGAAACGCAGCAGUCUCUUUGAAAGCUAUUGCCCCCAAGUACGGUUGUGCCCCUCCCCCAAGCAAAGACUACUGCAGGAUGGAAGGUAGAUAUGCUCCAAAGAUUUUCAGUUUCGUGAGGUAGGCAGAAGGUUGGCUACAACUCUGCUCCACAGACACUUGCCCCAUGACGUAGUGGCACUAAAAUUUGACACUUGAGACAGGUUAGCCAAUGAAUGAAGGAACUGCCCUUUGGCACUGGUAUGUAGCACCGUAACUAGUUGUCACUUGGCAACUGGUGCCAAAGCUGGGCAAAACCAGACUGUCCACGACAGUAGCCAAAAAUAUCACUCCACCUGCGGCAGAACCUGCCACACAUCUGCUCCAAUACGCUGUAUACAGACAGCACAAUACCCCCCCCCCAAAAAAAAACAUGGAUGGUAGGAUGAUGACAUUGUUUUAAAAUAGACAUACUGGAGAAUGCAUACUGGAUUUAUAACAGCUUUUAAUAGUCCUGGCUGUAGCUUUGCACAAUAUUUUUUUUAAAAAAAGGCUUUUGGCCUUAUAGCUAAACAACUUGAAUCAUUCUGAUGAUGGAUGAGGAGAGGCUAGUCGGGAAGAGGACUAGAUAAAUGGCCUCACUGCUGUUUCCCUUUUAGUGAUUGUUCUGUUCUUGCUGAUGGAGUUGAGGUCUGUAGGAAUGUUAUGAUUCAUGCAUUCUUUUGGGAGAGUUCAGUUCCGAAAAUAGAUCCCAGUUGAGGAAGCAGCAUCUUUUUGGCUUUCUAGUAACCCCACCACCAUGUCCUGAAAACAGACAGAUUUGCGUCUCCUGUGCCCAGCGGGGUCUUGUUUUUCCUCUGCUCUCACACACUUUGAGGUCCUCUUUCAAACCUGUUGAGGCUGAGAACUCUCAAGUUUCUCCUAUUUUCAUUUGAUUUUCAGGUCUGUCAGUCUUCUUUUUCAUAGAAUCCCAACAGUGUAGAAACAGGCUAUUCAGCCCAUUGAGUCCACACCGCCCUCCGAAGAGCGUGCCACCUGGAUCCAGCCCCCUCCCCUAUCCCUGUAACCCUGUAUUUCCCAUGGCUAACCCACCCUAACCUGCACAUCCCUGGACACAAUGGGAUAAUUUAUCGCGGUCAAUCCGCCCUAACCUGCACAUCUUUGGUCUGUGGGAGGAAACUGGAACACCUGGAGGAAGCCCACAGACACAGGGAGAAUGUGCAAACGCUACACAAACAGUCUCCCGAGGCUGGGGUUGUACCUGGGUCCCUGGUGCUGUGAGGCAGCAGCGCUAAGCAGUGAGCCACCGUGGGUUCAAAUUUUUUGCCUUUGUGUUAUGCGAAACUGCUCUUGUCCCACAGGUGUACUUUGGCUUCAGCUGAGCUUCCCCAGGUGAGGGUCAGUAGCUGAAAUUUUGGGGUUUUAAGCUACAAAACAUUGUUGGCUGAUGUGGAGCUCUGCUGCUUCCUGCCCUUCCGACCAUCCCACUCUGUGCUCACUGAGGGGCCACAAACAAUUCCCAACCCUAAAUGAAGUCAUGGUGGAAGAGGUUUGAUAAGCACUGGGCUAAAGCAUUGUAUCAAUAAAAGAAAUCAACUAUUUUCCCAAUGUCAUCUGUUAUCACAAGGCAUUUUUAGACGAAUUGUAUUGUCAACUAGAACUAGUUGAAAAUCCAUUGUUCCUUUCCAGCUGUAAUGAUGUUGAGAGCUGGAUUUUCUUUCUUGUUCCAUUGUGCAAUAAUGCACAGCUGGUAUAACUGCAGUCAUAGCACACUGGUCCCCAUUCUUUUCCGGCGGUCUCUUCAUUCCCUAAGUACUAAUAAAUCUAAAUUAUCUUAAUGUUGAAUGUAGUCAGCAGCUGAGCAUGGCAACUGUCUGGUUUGAGAAUUCCACGUAGUUGUAGCAUCUUUUGAUGACCCCUGGGUGCCCUGGUGGUUUGAUACCGCAGAUUGUUUUGUUCGGCUUGAGCAGACUAUUGGGCCAGAAGUUUUGCGUCUGGUGUGAAAGUUGUCACCUUUUGACAGCACAGCAUUCGCUUGGGUCAGCUUAGAUGACCAGUUCGGUCUCCUGGAGUAGACUUGGGAACCGCUGAUGGGGCAUCGACUGGCUGACUGUCUCGAUUUCAGUGCUCCCCUCACCCUCGCUCAGAUGUGACUCUGAGACCAGAGAGACACUGUACUUGGCAAGGAGAUCGGUGAGUAAGAUGAGCAUUUUUUUUUAAACUGAGCAAGUUAUGGUAAUCUGGAAUACGCUGCCUACAAACAUCCUUUGGCUGGGGAAGGGGUAUGCUGGAAGCACAGAUGGGGCAAAUUGAAUUGCUUUCUUAAGCAUUGUGCUUGGACUCAGUGGGCUGACUGGUCUCCUGCUAUGCUGUGUAAUUUGAUGGAAAGUGUCACUGGCACUAAUGAGCACACAGUCCCAUAACCACCAGCAUUUGAUUCUUCAGGAUAGAUUCCAAAAGCACCCACUGUCCCAUGUGAACAAUGGUUCUUUAAUGUCAUAGAGUCCUACAGCAUGGAAACAGACCCUUCGGUCCAACUAGUCUGUGUUGACCAUAAUCCCAAACUAAACUAAUCCUACCUGCCUGCUCCUGGUUCAUAUUCCUCCAAACCUUUCCUGUUCAUGUACUCAUCCAAUUGUUUAUAAACGUUGUAAUGGUACCAGCGUCCACCACUUUCACGAGAAGUUCAUUCCAGACGUGAACCACAGUCUGUGUCUUUGUUUUAAAAAACAAAUGCCCCUUGUUGUGUGUAUUUCUUUUAAAUCUCUGUCCUCACACCUUAAAAAAUGCCAGCCAGUCUUGAAGUGCCCAACCCCUGAGAAAAGACACUUGCCAUUCACCCUGUCUAUACCCCUCGUGGUUUUAUAAACCAUGCAGUGGAAAAAGGUUCCAGCCUCUCCCUAUCAGUCAAAUCUUCCGCUCCUGGCAACAUCCUGAUAUAUCUUUUCUGAACCCUCUGCAGCUUAAUAAUAUCCUUCCUAUAAUAGAUAGACCAGAGUUGCACACUGUAUCACAGAAGAGGAGUGUCAAUAAAGUCUCAUUUGUACACACUGUUAUCCUGGUACUGUUAAAACGUUGGAUUUCGGGUUGGGACUUUGUAGGACUUUGGUUUCAGUUUCAUUUCCUUUGAGUCUGUUUUCAGUUCUCCCUGGAUGUGUUAUGUACAGGGCUGUUCCUUCUAAAUGAGCCUUGACUCUGCAACAGUGACCCUGCACCAUGUACUUCGUCAAGACCACUUCUGGAAUACUGCGUUCAUUUCCAGUCUCCCUGCUUUAGGAGCGAUGUUGUGAAACUUGAAAGGGUUCAGAAAAGAUUUACAAGGAUGUUGCCAGGGUUAGUGGGUUUGAGCUGUAGGGAGAGGGGGAAUAGGCCAGUGCUUACUUACCUGCAGGUUUGGAGGCCGAGGGGCGAGAGGGGAAAGGUUUUGAAAGGGAUCAAGAGGGGUAACUUUUUCACGCAGAGGGUGGUGCGUAUAUGGAAUGAGUUGCCAGAGGAAGUGGUGGAGGCUGGUACAGUUACAGCAUUUAAAUGCAUCUAGAUGGGUACACGUGAGUAGGAAGGGUCUAGAGGGAUAGAACAUAGAACAGUACAGCACAGAACAGGCCCUUCAGCCCAGGAUGUUGUGCCGACCAUUGAUCCUCAUGAAUGCACCCUCAAAUUUCUGUGACCAUAUGCAUGUCCAGCAGUGUCUUAAAUGUCCCCAAUGACCUUGCUUCCACAACUGCUGCUGGCAACGCAUUCCAUGCUCUCACAACUCUCUGUGUAAAGAACCCGCCUCUGACGUCCCCUCUAUACUUUCCACCAACCAGCUUAAAACUAUGACCCCCUUGUGUUAGCCAUUUCUGCCCUGGGAAAUAGUCUCUGGCUAUCAACUCUAUCUAUGCCUCUCAUUAUCUUGUAUACCUCAAUUAGGUCCCCUCUCCACCUCCUUUUCUCCAAUGAAAAAAGUCCGAGCUCAGUCAACCUCUCUUCAUAAGAUAAGCCCUCCAGUCCAGGCAGCAUCCUAGUAAACCUCCUCUGAACCCUCUCCAAAGCAUCCACAUUAUUCCUAUAAUAGGGCGACCAGAACUGGACGCAGUAUUCCAAGUGCGGUCUAACCAAAGUUUUGUAGAGCUGCAACAAGAUCUCACGACUCUUAAACUCAAUCCCCCUGCUAAUGAAAGCCAAAACACCAUAUGCUUUCUUAACAACCCUGUGCACUUGGGUGGCCAUUUUAAUGGAUCUAUGUGUCUGCAUACCAAGAUCCCUCUGUUCCUCCACACUGCCAAGAGUCCUAUCCUUAAUCCUGUACUCAGCUUUCAAAUUCGACCUUCCAAAAUGCAUCACCUCGCAUUUAUCCAGGUUGAACUCCAUCUGCCACCUCUCAGCCCAUCUCUGCAUCCUGUUAAUGUCCCUCUGCAGCCUACAACAGCCCUCUAUACUGUCAAUGACACCUCCAACCUUUGUGUCGUCUGCAAACUUGCUGACCCAUCCUUCAAUCCCCUCAUCCAAGUCAUUAAUAAAAAUUACAAACAGUAGAGGCCCAAGGGCAGAGCCCUGUGGAACACCACUCACCACUGACUUCCAGGCAGAAUAUUUUCCUUCUACUACCACUCGCUGUCUUCUGUUGGCCAGCCAAUUCUGUAUCCAGACAGCUAAGUCCCCUGUAUCCCAUUCCUCCUGACCUUCUGAAUGAGCCUACCAUGGGGAACCUUAUCAAAUGCCUUGCUGAAGUCCAUAUACACCACAUCCACAGCUCGACCCUCAUCAACUUUUCUAGUCACAUCCUCAAAGAACUCGAGAAGGUUUGUGAGGCAUGACCUGCCUCUCUCAAAGCUGUGUUGACUGCAUUUAAUCAAGCCAAGCUGUUCCAGAUGGUCAUAAAUCCUAUCCCUCAGAAUCCUUUCUAACACCUUGCAGACGACAGACGUGAGACUUACUGGUCUGUAAUUGCUGGGGAUUUCCCUAUUUCCUUUCUUGAAGAGAGGAAUUACAUUUGCCUCUCUCCAGUCCUCAGGUACGACUCCAGUGGAGAGCGAGGAUGCAAAGAUCUUUGCAAGUGGCGAAGCAAUUGCAUUUCUCGCUUCCCAAAGCAGCUGAGGACAAAUCUGGUCCGGGCCUGGCGACUUGUCAAUCUUAAUGUUUGACAAAAGUUUCAGCACAUCAGCUUCCUCUAUCUCUAUCCAUUCCAGCAUGCACACCUGCUCUUCAAAGGUUUCAUUCACUACAAAGGUCGUUGCUUUCGUAAAGACAGAAGCAAAAAACUCAUUUAGGGCUUCCCCUACCUCCUCAGACUCCACACACAAGUUCCCUAUGCUAUCCCUGAUCGGCCCUACUCUUUCUUUGACCAUUCUCUUAUUCCUCACAUAAGUGUAAAAUGCCUUUGUGUUCUCCCUAAUCCGUUCUGCCAAGCCUUUCUUGUGCCCCCUCCUGGCUCUCCUCAGACCAUUUUUGAGCUCCUUCCUCGCCUGCCUGUAAUUCUCUAGAGCUGAGCUUGACCCUAGCUUCCUCCACCUUAUGUAAGCUACCUUCUUCCUUUUGACGAGAAGCUCCACCGCUCUCGUCAUCCAAGGUUCCUUUAUCUUACCCCUUCUUGCCUGUCUCAGAGGGACAUAUUUAUUCAUCACUCGCAACAACUGUUCCUUAAACAGCCUCCACAUGUCUAUAGUGCCUUUACCAUGGAACAAUUGCUCCCAGUUGCUCCCAGUCCAUGCUUCCUAACUCCUGUCUAAUCGCAUCAUAGUUUCCUCUUCCCCAAUUAAAUAUCCUCCCAUUUUGCCUAAUCCUCUCCUUCUCCAUAGCUAUGUAGAAUGUGAGGCAGUUAUGGUCACUAUCACCAAAAUGCUCUCCCGCCACAAGAUCCAAUACCUGCCCCGGCUCGUUUCCAAGCACCAAGUCUAGAAUGGCCUCUCCCCUCGUCGGCCUGUCAACGUACUGAGUUAGGAAACCCUCCUGAGCACACCUUACAAAAACAGCUCCAUUCAAAUCUUCUGCUCGAAGGAGGUUCCAAUCAAUAUUGGGAAAGUUAAAGUCACCCAUUACAACAACCCUACUACAUCCGCAAUUUUCCAAAAUUUCCCGACCUAUGCUUUCUUCAAUCUCCCUGCUGCUUUUGGGGGGCCUGUCGUAAACCCCUAACAAGGUGACUACUCCCUUGCUGUUCCUAAUUUUCACCCACACUGCCUCAGUAGGCAGAUCUUCCUCGACAAAGGAAGCUUCUGUAGCUGUGAUACCCUCUCUGAAUAGUAGUGCUACACCCCCUCCUCUUUUUCCCCCCUCCCUAUUCUUUUUAAAUGUUCUAAACCCUGGAACAUCCAGCAACCAUUCCUGCCCCUGAGAAACCCAUGUCUCUGUUAUGGCCACAACAUCAUAGCACCAGGUACUGAUCCAUGCUCUGAGUUAAUCACUUUUAUUCCUGAUACUCCUUGCAUUAAAGCAAACACAUUUUAACCGAUCCCUUGGUUCCUUCCCAGGAAAAUCUUUCCCACUAGCUGGUCUACCUCUUGCUACUGCCUCACCUGCAUCAACUCUCACCUCUGGUAUACAGCUCAGGUUCCCACCCCCCUGCCAUACUAGUUUAAACCCUCUCGAACUACUCGAGCAAACCUUCCACCCAGGACAUUGGUCCCCUUCCAGUUCAGAUGCAACCCGUCCUUCUUGUACAGGUCCCACCUUCCCCAGAACGCAUCCCAAUUAUCUACAUAUCUGAAGCCCUCCCUCCUACACCAGCUGCGCAGCCACGUGUUAAGCUGCGCCUGCUCCCUGUUCCCUGCCUCGCUAUCUCGUGGCACCGGUAGUAAACUAGAGAACACUACUCUGUUUGUCCUGCUUUGCAGCUUCCAUCCUAACUCCCUGAAAUCACUUUUUAUAUCCUCAAUCCUUUUUCUGGCUAUAUCAUUAGUGCCAAUAUGUAACACGAUUUCUGGCUGUUCGCCCUCCCCUUUUAGAACCUUAUACACCCGAUCGGAGACGUCCCGGACCCUGGCACCAGGGAGGCAACAUACCUUCAAAAUAAACCACAAAAUCUCCUGUCGAUUCGCCUAACUAUCGAGUCCCCUACCACGAGUACUUUUCUAUUCUGCCCCCUUCCCUUCUUUGCCACAGUGUCAGGCUCAGUGCCAGAGAACUGACUACUAUGGCUUUCCUCUGGUAGGUCAUCCCCCCCAGCAGUAUCCAAAACGGUAUACUUAUUGCUGAGGGGAAUGUCCACAGGGGAUCUCUGCACUGUCUGUCUGUCCCCUUUCCUCCCCCUAACUGUAAUCCAUCUAUCCUUGUUCUGAGCCUUAGGAGUGACCAACUACUGGUAACUCCUCUUAAUUACCCCCCUGCCUCCCGAAUGAUCCGUAGUUCAUCCAGCUCCAGCUCCAUUUCCCUAACACGGUUUUCAAGGAGCUGUAGUUGGGUGCACUUCCCGCAGAUGUAGCCAGCGGAGACGUGUGCCACGUCUCCCAACUGCCACAUUCUGCAGGAGGAGCAAGCAACUGCCCUAGCAUCCAUACCCCACUUAUCUGAACACUCACUCAGUACUAAAGUAGAAAGCUUAGUUCAAGUUGCUAUAAAAUUAAUAACAAACUUAUAUUCAACAGAGAAAGUUUAGAAUGUACCUUACCUUAUUAACUAGGUUAGAGGAGGAGGGUGGGUGGGAGACUCUACAGUUGUAGAGUCUCGGGUUUAGCCGCCUUGCUGAUAUAUAUGGUCACUGCUUUCCUUCCCGGCUGCCCCUCUGGUCCUCGUCACUUCCUCUGCUGCUCCAGCUUCUUCUGUGAAAGAGAAAACACCGCUGCCCGCUACCGGUAAGUAAUUUUAAAAAUAAACUGCUUUACCUUAGCUGCAGUCUUCCGGGUCCGUCUUACCUCCGCUGCUGCUCGCACUCAAAAUCAUGCAUAUGGGCCAAAUGCUGGCAAAUGGGAUAUCGGGUUGGCAGGGAUGCGUUGGACCAAAGGGUCUGUUUCCAUGCAGUACGUCUCCGUGACCUGCUUAAAACGGUGUUACCAGGCCAGAAGCCAAUGCAAGGCAGUGAGCAGGAAGAUGACUGGUGGAUGAGAUGUCAGACUGAGUGAUAUUUGAGGAUUUUACUCGGUAGGCUGGCCAGGCAAAGGCUGAGAUAGUCAUAUGUGGGGGUUGGGGGUGGUAGUUGGACAGGUGAGAGCCUCGGCAAGUGGACAAGUGGAAAGCACUGGCAGAGCAGCAACUUCACUUGAGCUCGGUGGGUGUUGUUUGACGAACCCGUGCUUUCCUCCAGUUGUCUGGACAAUCGAGUGCCUUGCUGGGUCUAUGUUAGGGCAGGGCAGUUUUAAAAAAAAAAUCACAAUGCUUUAUUCUCUUGUUCUGUCUACCAGCCCACAAAGGAUUAGUUUGCUGAAUUCCCUUUCACAAAUGGCCCCCGGUAUGUGAUGAACCUGUGCUGGUCCGGGGCCACAACCAUGACUGCACUGUACCCAGAGAACAAAAUGCUUUCUGUGGGCAGACAGCAACUUGGGGUGAGUACAGACAGUGUGAUUAUACUGCUGAGCGCUCACAGCUCAAACAGUCAGUGUUGUGAAAUCUUUCCACCCACAGCCUCAACAGAACGAGAAAUUCCAGUGAGAACACCCCUUGGCCAGUCUAUCAGCUCACCACUUUACUUGGUGGAACCAUUCCCAGCUUUGUGUAAGUUCAAAUCAGGUUUUUUUUUGCGCAUUUAUGAUCAGAAAGGGUAAGUGUUUCGUUGGUCUCAUCGAGAAACGUGGUAAUGAAGAGGCUUGUUUGCCCUGUACCCUUGCUGGCUGUUUAGAGUUAUCUAAUAAUUUCAAAAUUCCACUCUCUCAAUUCUUCCUCUAUUGUUAUAGAGUCAUACAGCUUGUUCCAGUGCAGAAGGCCAUUCAGCCCAUUGAGUUCACACUAGCUUUAAGGGAGCAUUUUACUUGAAGCCUGUCUGCCUCAAUUGCUCAUUUGUACAUUUCCUGUUUAUAUGUGACAGUAUUUCACUUAGAAUCAUAGAGCUGGUCAGCACAGAAACAGACCUUUCGCUCUGACUCGCCCAUGCCGAACAGAUAUCCUACGUUAAUCUAGUUUCAUUAGGCCCAUAUCCCUCUGAACCUCUCCUAUUCACAUACCCAUCCAGAUGCCUUUUAAAUGUUGUCAAUAUACCAGCCUCCACCACUUCCUCUGGUGGCUCAUUCCAUACAUGCACCACCCUCUGUGUGGAAAAAGUUACCCCUCGGGUUCCUUUUAUAUCUUUCCCCUCUCACCUUAAACCUAUUCCCCUCUAGAUUUGGACUCCCCCACUCUGGGGGAAAAGACCUUGAAAUCCCCCACCCUAGGGAAAAGACAUCUACCAUUAACCUUAUGUGAAUCCCUCAUAGAAGGUCACCUCUCAACCUCCUCCAUGCCAGUGACAAAAGUGCCAAUCGAUCCACUCCGUCUUUAGUCCAACUGCUCCUUGCUGGUAUUUAUGCUUGAUGAGCCUCCCCUCCCUCUCACCAGCUCUAUCUCACCCUAUCACCAGCUGAUGAUUCCUUCUCCAGUGUGUAUUUAUCUCGUUUCACCAUAAAUGCACCUACAUGUUCAGCUUCACCACUCCCACUGAAAGCAAGUUCCACAUUUUCCCCAUUGCCCUGGAGCAAAGUUUAAGAAUGAUUUAGACAGAUGCAUGAACAGGCAACAAAUAGAGAAAUAUGGACCAUGUGCAGGUCAGUGAUAAUAAAAUGUGAGGCUGGAUGAACACAGCAGGCCAAGCAGCAUCUCAGGAGCACAAAAGCUGACGUUUCGGGCCUAGACCCUUCAUCAGAGAGGGGGAUGGGGGGAGGGAACUGGAAUAAAUAGGGAGAGAGGGGGAGGCGGACCGAAGAUGGAGAGUAAAGAAGAUAGGUGGAGUUGCAAUGGGAGAGAGAUUCCCUGAGGUUGGUCCGGAGGGAGGAGGGUAACUUCUUCAGGUUAGGCAUCCCUGGAAGAGGCUUCGCAGUGAGGUUAAAAUAGUAUCAGAGAUAAUGGGAACUGCAGGUCAGUGUGAUGUGUUUAGAAUGACACCACAGUUAGCCCAGGCAUGGUAGGCUGAUGGACCUGUUCCUGGACUGUUCUGUGUUCACUGGGUAAAGCCAUUUCUCAUUUAGAUUUGUUAGUGAUUGUCUGAUACUGAUGGUACUGUGUUCUCCUCUUCCUCCACAAGCAGAAACAUCUUUUGUCAAGUGCUGG